rnacentral:lncRNA from 1 species
AGGCUGCAGUGAAUUCUACAAAGAGGCUAUGGGAAAGAAACCUGGAAAGUACCCUUGGCUGUGUACAUUUGAGUAAAGAGAGCACUAUAAAAUCAAAAACCAAUGAAAUGGUUUCCAGAACACAGAACUAUUAAGCUUAAGAAAAGGACAGAAGGAACUGAAGAGAGAGGAACUGUUUUGGAGCAUCACACUUCCACCUCAGAAGAAAUAAGGAAGGAAGGAGGAGGGUGUUCCCACGGCUCUUCAACCAGGCCGGCUCUUCAGCCUACAUCCCCAUCUCAUCAAGUAAAAGGGAUUUUUCAACUGGACCAACCAGAUGGUUUAACAGUGCACUCCCACACCAUUCAACUACGCAAGGGAGAUACACUUAACAUAUGCAGUCGUAUAACACCUACUAACAUUUUCAAACAUUAAACCUUUAAAAAAGAGUUCUAAAGAAAUAGAAGCUUGAAGUAUCAUCUCUCAAGUAUAUAGACACUACUUCAUGGUGUGGUAAUAUAUGCAUAUAGAAGCUAGUAAACACCUCCAGGAGAUGCAAAAGGAAUUAGAACUGCCACAAGGUGCAAGCAAAACCUUGAGUCUCCAUUGAUGGUGAAGUAUUUUCACUAUUUGGCAUGUCUUCUCUAGUACCUAGAGCAGUGCGUUGCAUGCAGUAGCAGGUUUAUAAACAUUUGCGAGUAAAACAUCCAACCUGAUACUCAAGGUAAUCAAUCUGCAUCCCAUUUUGGAUGAGAAUAUUUGCAACUUUGAAGGUUAUUUUAAGGACAGCAGCAGAAGAAUUAUGGCAGCUUCUUUAAAAUAUGAAGACUUCGAAGUUAUUUAUCCAAACCAACCUGAUCAUUUCUUAAGAGUGAAUAUACCUUGGAAGACGUGUCCUGCCUUUAGUAGCGUCACAAUGGAUUACAUCCUCUAUAAAGCAGUCUGGGAUAUUCUGCCCAAUCAGAGGCUAACAUCUGCCACAAGACAAAUAUGGUGCCUGCCCCCAUGGAGCUCAUAUUCGAAUGGAGAAAAUGUCAACAAGUAUCCCACGGAGUGAACACUUCAAAAGGAGAAGCACAGGUGAGAAAAUCGAAUUUGGACACCGUUGAGGAGACUAUUGCAGUCAUCCAAGCUCAAGAUGGUGGAGCUUCAUCCUUGAGAAUAACCAAUGGGGAUAGAUUUAAGAGACACUUAGAGUCUGCAGCCAACAGGGCUGAAUGAGCAGAGAGUUAUGAUUCAGAAGAUCAUCUAAAAUUGAACAGCUGCCACUACUGGCAAUAAGUCUACUGCCAUUUGGUAGAUAACCUUCUUAUCACACAGAAAAAUAUCAGUACAGACAAAUAGACCGCAAAGAAAAUGAGACCAUCAGCAAAGAAGAUAAAGAAGUUUGUACAAAGCAACUUUUUAUAAAUGGAUGGCUGUCAGGCAAAAAUAAAUUUCCUGUGGACAAGACCAAGAGCAAGGCAAGAGGAAAAUAAACAUGUUUAAACUAUUG